rnacentral:rRNA from 1 species
UACGUAGGGUGCAGGCGUUAAUCGGAAUUACUGGGCGUAAAGCGUGCGCAGGCGGUUUGCUAAGACAGGUGUGAAAUCCCCGGGCUUAACCUGGGAACUGCGCUUGUAACUGGCAAGCUAGAGUGUGGCAGAGGGGGGUGGAAUUCCACGUGUAGCAGUGAAAUGCGUAGAGAUGUGGAGGAACACCGAUGGCGAAGGCGGCCUUCUGGUCCAGUACUGACACUCAAGUGCGAAAGCGUGGGGAGCAAACAGG